rnacentral:rRNA from 1 species
UGGGGAAUAUUGCACAAUGGGCGCAAGCCUGAUGCAGCGACGCCGCGUGCGGGAUGGAGGCCUUCGGGUUGUAAACCGCUUUUGUUCAAGGGCAAGGCAGGCUUUCGGGCCUGUUGAGUGGAUUGUUCGAAUAAGCACAGGCUAACUACGUGCC